rnacentral:rRNA from 1 species
UUGAACGCUGGCGGCAUGCCUUACACAUGCAAGUCGAACGGUAACAGGUCUUCGGAUGCUGACGAGUGGCGAACGGGUGAGUAAUACAUCGGAACGUGCCCGAGAGUGGGGGAUAACGGAGCGAAAGCUUUGCUAAUACCGCAUACGAUCUACGGAUGAAAGCGGGGGACCGUAAGGCCUCGCGCGAUUGGAGCGGCCGAUGUCGGAUUAGCUAGUUGGUGGGGUAAAGGCCUACCAAGGCGACGAUCCGUAGCGGGUCUGAGAGGAUGAUCCGCCACACUGGGACUGAGACACGGCCCAGACUCCUACGGGAGGCAGCAGUGGGGAAUUUUGGACAAUGGGGGCAACCCUGAUCCAGCCAUGCCGCGUGAGUGAAGAAGGCCUUCGGGUUGUAAAGCUCUUUCAGACGGAAAGAAAACGCAUCGGUGAAUACCCGGUGUGGAUGACGGUACCGUAAGAAGAAGCACCGGCUAACUACGU